UUAUUAUUAUUUUUCUUUUUUUUUAAUACACUAGGUUUGUUGUAAAUACUCCACACCACACAAUACAUACGCACAAACACACAACAAGUCUCACGCCUCUUUCUUCUCCUCUCCCACCUUCACUGUAAUCUCAUCCAUCGGAGCGGCCAUUUCCGGCGAAUCUCCCACCACCACAGCACCACCGCACGCCGCCUCUUUCUUCUCCUCCCUCACCAGCCGCCGCUCAAACCCUCCCCAUUUCCGUCAGCAGCCACCCGAAGCCUGCAGCGCCGCCCCUUCCCCCUCUCUUCUCCGUUGCUGCUUCGCCGGAGGUUAUGACCGGCGAAGCUUGGCUGCUUCCAUUGCAUUGUCACUCCUUUACCCUAUUUCUUUGCACUUUAUUUUUAAUUUUCUCACGGAUCUGGCCGGAUUUGGUUAUCCGGCGUCGCUCCGGCGAACUCCAUUGUGCCGCUGCCAUUAUGUCGUUACCGCCACUAUUUUAGUGUUUUGUCUUAUUUUUGUUUAUUGUGAGUAUUACGUUGCUCCGGUGAAGCUCCAACUGUUCUUUCUUUUUCACGACUUUGGUUGAUUGCAUUUAUUUAUUUCACUGAUCUUUUCGUUUUGAUGAUUUUGAUUGAUUGCAUUUAUUUAUUUUUCUUUACGAAGCUUGCUUACUGUUAUUAAAUUGUCGAUGCAGUUAUUUUGAAAUUACUUGCUUACUGUUAUUAAAUUGUUGCUACAGUUACUUUAAAAUUACUUGUGCUUUGCUACUGUUUAGCUCAUUUUAGACUGUUUUGGAUUUUCUUCUUACUUUUAUUUCUUUAUCAUUUAUUAUAUUGAUAAUAACAAAUAAAUAUUAUACUUUGGUCAAUGAAAUUAUCUCUCCGUUUGAUAUUUCAGGUCACCCCAUUAUAAAAGAUGGACUUUAUUUUAUCAAAGUUAUUAUUUUAUAUUAAGGAUCGACUAUUGGUCGAUGAAGAAAUUCUUCAUCGAUUUUCAAGGCCUCCACAAAUAAAAAUACGGAUAUUACGUACACAAAUACGUAAUAAAAUAAAUAAAUUUGGGCGAUGACAAAAUUUUUACUACAGCGCAAAAGAUUUUAUGACUCGUAUCUUGGUAAGACGAUUUAGGAUGACCAACAAAUUGAGCAACCACUUCGUAGUCAUUACGUAUCUAAAUUUAAUCUGAGCACACCUUUUAGCAAAAAA
rnacentral:lncRNA from 1 species